UGGGGAAUUUUGCACAAUGGGGGAAACCCUGAUGCAGCGACGCCGCGUGAGCGAAGAAGGCCUUCGGGUCGUAAAGCUCUUUUAUGAGGGAAGAUAAUGACGGUACCUCAAGAAAAAGCCACGGCUAACUACGUGCCAGCAGCCGCGGUAAUACGUAGGUGGCAAGCGUUGUCCGGAAUUAUUGGGCGUAAAGCGCGCGCAGGUGGUUUAGAAAGUCUGAUGUGAAAGCCCACGGCUCAACCGUGGAGGGUCAUUGGAAACUAAUAAACUUGAGUGCAGGAGAGAAAAGUGGAAUUCCUAGUGUAGCGGUGAAAUGCGUAGAGAUUAGGAGGAACACCGGUGGCGAAAGCGGCUAUCUGGACAGUAACUGACGCUGAGGCGCGAAAGCGUGGGGAGCAAACAGG
rnacentral:rRNA from 1 species